rnacentral:rRNA from 1 species
AGUAGUUUGACUCCGUGGCUCGAGGACGACGCUGGCGGCGUGCUUAACACAUGCAAGUCGAACGGGGUACUUGUACCUAGUGGCGAACGGGUGAGUAACGCGUAGAUAACCUGCCUUUAAGUUGGGGACAACAGCUCGAAAGGGUUGCUAAUACCGAAUGUUAUAAAUUUUUCGCAUGAAAGAUUUAUUAAAGAUUUUAUCGCUUAAAGAGGGGUCUGCGUCCGAUUAGGUAGUUGGUAGGGUAAAGGCCUACCAAGCCGACGAUCGGUAACCGGUCUGAGAGGAUGAACGGUCACAUUGGGACUGAGACACGGCCCAGACUCC